GUGCCAGCAGCCGCGGUAAUACGGGGGGGGUAAGCGUUAUCCGGAUUUACUGGGUGUAAAGGGAGCGUAGACGGCCAUUCAAGCCAGAUGUGAAAGCCCGGGGCUCACCCCCGGGACUGCAUUUGGAACUGUGUGGCUAGAGUGUCGGAGAGGCAGGCGGAAUUCCUAGUGUAGCGGUGAAAUGCGUAUAUAUUAGGAGGAACACCAGUGGCGAAGGCGGCCUGCUGGACGAUGACUGACGUUGAGGCUCGAAAGCGUGGGGAGCAAACAGGAUUAAAUACCCUGGUACUCCACGCCGUAAACGAUGACUACUAGGUGGCGGGUGGCAAAGCCAUUCGGUGCCGCAACAAACGCAAUAAGUACUCCACCUGGGGAGUACGUUCGCAAGAAUGAAACUCAAAAGAAUUGACGGGGACCCGCACAAGCGGUGGAGCAUGUUGUUUAUUUCGAAGCAACGCAAAAAACCUUACUUGAUCUUGACCUCCCCCUGACUGCUCUGUAGUGGGAGCCUUCCUUCAGGACAGGAGAGACAGGUGGUGCAUGGUUGUCGUCACCUCGUGUCGAAAGAUGUUGGGGUUAAGUCCCGCACCGAGCGCAACCCUUAUCUUUAUUACCCACAGUAUGGAUGGCCCCUCCUAGAAAGACUGCCAAGGGAAUAACCUGAAAGAAGGGGGGGAGAAGGACAA
rnacentral:rRNA from 1 species